UGAUUCUGCAGGCCAAUUACAGCCCAAUUAGAAGCAUAACUGGCAGUAUCAAUUGGAAGUACAUAGUUCAGCUGAACAAUGUCCGAAAGAAAAGUGGACUACAUGCUGCCAACCGAGUCACAGAUAAGCAUGUGAACUUUGCUAAUCAGAAGAUGAAGUCAAUCAAGGUCUCCCUGGCUGCUCAGACUUUGAGUAACUCUGUGGCAGUGGCGGUCCGCACCUUGCAGGACGUGGGCUAUGCAGAGUUCAAAGAUUGUGAGGCUACUUCUGAAUUAAUUCAGAUAACAGACAAGCUGUUUGACAUCUUGAACAGUCGCAAUCCCAGAGCCAAAGGGUUCAAAGCCCCCCUUGGUUCCAGGAAUUGGACAAGCACCAGGGAGUUCUUGAUAAAACCCAGGGGGUACUUGCUCACUUUGAAGAUGGAGGAUGGCAAAACCCUUUACCGAACAAAGAGGUCUUUUAAAAUAGUGUCAAUUGGUGAUGCACUUACACCAUUUGUAGUCGCCCCGUUCAAAUUCUUAAUUCUAAUUAAAUUAUUGUGUGCUCAAUUAGAAAAUAAGUGUUUAUUUUAUUAUUCGUUAGAUUUAUACAAGUAGUCAAUUUACAAAUCAUUAAAUUAUCUAAGGUAAAACUCUACUGGUUUCAGUGCAUCCCUCAAGUCCAUGAUACAAGUUCAACAGAUGCUCUGUUCUCUUGUUUAUCCACAGUCUUCUGUGUCUCCUGCAUCAUGUUCAGAUGCUCUGUCCUCCUGUCUGCAUCAAGUUCAUGAGAUGCUCUGUCCUGUAAAAUGUUCUGUCCUGUCUGCAUCGAGUUCAUGAGAUGCUCUUUUAUGUUCAUGUAUUGCAUGGUCUGCAUGUU